ACCUUAAUCGUCAUGUGAGGAAAGUCCACUUGUUGGUUCCACUUCAGAAAUGUGGUCACUGUAACAAACAAUUUGUUAAGGAAUCUACACUGAUUAGACACAUGCAAACUACCCACAAGGAAAUCUUCAUCAAAUCUCUAAGGACUCAGCUUGAUCAAGUGCCUUUGGAAAAGCAGGAAGUUGCUGAUGCACGAGAGGGAACCAGUGUAACAGAUUCUUAAGUUUCUCACGUUUUCGUGAGCACAGACUAACAUUUUAAAGUUUUACAUAGAAAUAGAUAGGAAAAUUCUUUAAAAAUCAUCUUCUCAAAAAUAACAAAGCCAUAAUUGAUCACAUCUGUUUGGAAGCAUCCUCAGGUAGUGUAGUUUCAAGUUUGUUCAAAUCAUGACCCCUAGGGGUAGGGCGGGGCCAAAGUGGCCAACCAAAGAUUUACAUAGAAUUAGAUAGGAAAAUUCUUUAAAAAUCUUCUUCUCAAGAAUAACAAAGCCAUAAUUGAUCAUAUUUGUAUGGAAGCAUCCUCAGGUAGUGUAGAUUCAAGUUUGUUCAAAUCAUGAUUGACCCCCGGGGAUAAGGCUGAGCCACAAUGGCCGACCAAAGUUUUACAUUGAUAUAUAUAGGAAAUUUCCUUAAAAAUCUUCUUCUCAAGAGUAACAAAGCCAUAAUUGAUCAUAUUUAUAUGGAAGCAUCCUCAGGUAGUGUAGAUUCAAGUUUGUUCAAAUCAUGACCCCCGGAGGUAGAGCGGUGCCACAAUGACCAAUCAAAGUUUUACAUAUAUAGAGGAAAAUUCUUUAAAAAUCAUCUUUAUUAUGAAGAAUAGCAAAGCGAUGAUUGGUCAUGGGACCAAUGGAUAUAAACUAUUCAAUAAUAAACCAAUUUCUACUUUUUCCCAGCCACAGUGCUCAGGUGAGUGAUGUAGUCCAUGGGCCUCUUGUUUUUUUAGAAAGGAAAGCGCUGCAUAGAUUUUUAUUUAGUGUUUUUACACAUCUUAUAAUUAAGAAUAUUUGAAGGUAAUUAUAGCUCUUCCUUGAACUUGAACUUUAUUCUCAUAACUGACAAAACAGUGAAGAGAAGAUAUAUACAGUAUAAUGAACAUGAAAUAUUACAUGCAUGAAGAAGGGAUAACAGAGUAAUAUCAAUUAACCGAGAGAGCUAACUCUCUCAAUUAUAAUAUCUAACAAUUUACAAAUCUUGAAGAGUUGAUUAGUAUUGGUUACAUUAAAAAGCAUUUCAAAUUUCAAAAUAUUUGAAUCCAAAUAAAAAUAUUUUGACAAAUA